rnacentral:rRNA from 1 species
GACGAACGCUGGCGGCGUGCCUAACACAUGCAAGUCGAACGGGGCUAGGAAGCUUGCUUUCUGAUGCCUAGUGGCGGACGGGUGAGUAACGCGUGAGUAACCUGCCUUUCAGAGGGGAAUAACGUUCUGAAAGAACGCUAAUACCGCAUAAACGUACAGCUUUCGCAUGGAAGCAGUACCAAAGGAGCAAUCCGCUGAGAGAUGGACUCGCGUCCGAUUAGCUAGUUGGUGGGGUAAAGGCCUACCAAGGCGACGAUCGGUAGCCGGACUGAGAGGUUGAUCGGCCACAUUGGGACUGAGACACGGCCCAG